rnacentral:lncRNA from 1 species
UGCUACUACGUGCUAUUCGGAAAUGCUCCAAAUAUCUACUCUACUAUAUGAAUCCGUUUCACUACUCAUAGUUAUUCGGAUUAGUGUCAAAGCUUGUAUCGACGUAACCCUUUACGACGAACUCUUUAACCACCUCCAUAAUCGAGAAAAAUUCCUUAGUCCAUUUGUUACUAAGGAUAAAUUUUGACCGCUGCUAGUGAUUCAAUCAUGGAUCACUCUCUGUACCUCUCAACAGAUUUUGAGUCAAGGCACACAUCAGGUGCGGUACACAGCAUGGCAUACUUUAGAUUCUACGGCUAAGGCAUAGAAGACGACGUUCGUCUAUUCUCUUUAUUCUGCCGUGGUCGGGUUUUGAGUCUUACUCAAAUUCACACCUUAC